CAGAGACUAGGUGUGAAUUAAUCAGAGUUUGGUUGGGGUGGACAGAAAUAAAAAUAACUACCUGUUUUAGUUAGUAACACUUAUAUGUGUGCAAGAAGACCUUAAGAAAAUCUUAAGAAUAAAUUACUUCGGGGAUAACAGCGUUAUCUUUUUUAGAGCCCUAAUUGAAAAAAAGGUUUGCGACCUCGAUGUUGAAUUAAGAAACCUUACUAGUGCAGCAGCUGGGAAAGGGGGUCUGUUCGACCUUUAAUAUCUUACAUGAUUUGAGUUCAGACCGGUGUGAGCCAGGUUGGUUUCUAUCUAGACUAAGUCUCUGCUACCGUA
rnacentral:rRNA from 1 species